AGAGUUUGAUCAUGGCUCAGAACGAACGCUGGCGGCAGGCUUAACACAUGCAAGUCGAACGCCCCGCAAGGGGAGUGGCAGACGGGUGAGUAACACGUGGGAACGUGCCCUAAGGUACGGAACAACUCCGGGAAACUGGAGCUAAUACCGUAUGUGCCCGAGAGGGGAAAGAUUUAUCGCCUUGGGAUCGGCCCGCGUCUGAUUAGCUAGUUGGUAGGGUAAUGGCCUACCAAGGCUACGAUCAGUAGCUGGUCUGAGAGGAUGGCCAGCCACACUGGGACUGAGACACGGCCCAGACUCCUACGGGAGGCAGCAGUGGGGAAUAUUGGACAAUGGGCGAAAGCCUGAUCCAGCCAUGCCGCGUGAGUGAUGAAGGCCUUAGGGUUGUAAAGCUCUUUCGCCAGGGACGAUAAUGACGGUACCUGGAUAAGAAGCCCCGGCUAACUUCGUGCCAGCAGCCGCGGUAAUACGAAGGGGGCUAGCGUUGUUCGGAAUUACUGGGCGUAAAGCGUAUGUAGGCGGAUCGUUAAGUCGGGGGUGAAAUCCCGAGGCUCAACCUCGGAACUGCCUUCGAUACUGGCGAUCUUCGAGUCCGGGAGAGGUGAGUGGAACUCCGAGUGUAGAGGUGAAAUUCGUAGAUAUUCGGAAGAACACCAGUGGCGAAGGCGGCUCACUGGCCCGGUACUGACGCUGAAAUACGAAAGCGUGGGGAGCAAACAGGAUUAGAUACCCUAGUAGUCC
rnacentral:rRNA from 1 species